GAAAAACAGUCGGCUCUGUCUGUACACCUGUUAUUAUUACUGUAGCCAGUUUCAGUUAAGGUAGAAUGGCGUGGACGGCCGUGGCGGACGCGAACGCCGGGGGAUUCGGGGUCGGGGCCGCCGGAGUGGGGCAGGUCCUCGACGGCUCCAACCCGGCCAUCGUCCGGCUCCGGCAGCUCGUCGACGGGCCCCAGUCCUCAGAGGGGUGGAGGCGGUGCUGGGAGCAGGGCGUGACGCCGUGGGACCUGGGCGAGCCCACGCCGGCCGUCGUCAAGCUGGUGCAGUCCGGCACCCUCCCCGCCGGCAACGUGCUCGUCCCGGGAUGCGGCGGGGGGUACGACGCGGUGGCCCUGUCCGGCGGCGGCCGCUCCGUGGUGGGUCUCGACGUCUGCGACGCCGUCAUCCAGAGGGCCAGGCAGCGCUCGUCGGACGUGGCCUUCGUCUGCGCCGACUUCUUCACCUGGUCACCACCGGAGCCGUUCCAUCUCAUCUUCGACUACACAUUCUUCUGCGCCCUUGACCCGUCGCUGCGGCCAGCGUGGGCGGCGAGGAUGGAGGAGCUGCUGCGGCCGGACGGAGAGCUCAUCACCCUCAUGUACCUGCCUCAAGACCAGGACUCGGGGCCACCAUACAACACGACAGUGCACGACUACGAGGAGGUGCUGAACCCCCUGGGCUUCGUCAUCCAAUCCAUCGAGGACAAUGACGUGGCGGUCGAGCCACGCAAGGGGCUGGAGAAGAUAGCAAGGUGGAAGAAGACGGCAGCUGGAGCCGAAACGUCGACAUCAGACGUGCCCUCUGAUAAUCUCUAGUUUCCUUUAAAGAUUAAUUUUAAGGUUUUUUCUUUCCCUUAAAAGGUUACAGUGGAGAGGCAUGUCAUGACACAACACUUCUUAUUAUAGUUACUUAUAAGGUCAAUGUAUGGUUAUCAUGUUAAUGGCACAUUUUAAACAAUGUGUGUGUGUGUGUGUGUUUUCUCUUGAGUAAAGUAUCCUUCACCGAUCGUGAACCAUGUGGCUCAGCCAUGGGAUUUAUGGAUUGGUCUCGCACAUUUUGCUUGUUUGAGAUCAGGGC
rnacentral:rRNA from 1 species